rnacentral:rRNA from 1 species
AAUGCUAAAAGAAUGGAAAUUUAAAAAAAAACUUUUUUAAAAAUAAAAAUUGAAUUUUUUUUAAUUUGUGCAAAAACAAUUAUUAUUAUUAAAGACAAGAAGACCCUAAGAAUUUAUGAUUUUGUAAUUAAAAAAAUUUUUUUUUUUAAAAAAUCUUGAUUGGGGCGAUCAAAAAAUAUUAAUAACUUUUUAAAUUUAAAUUGAUCUAUUAUUAAUAAACUAAUGAAUUAAAUACUCUAGGGAUAACAGCGU